GAAUGCUGACAUAAGUAACGAUAAAGCGGGUGAAAAGCCCGCUCGCCGGAAGACCAAGGGUUCCUGUCCAACGUUAAUCGGGGCAGGGUGAGUCGACCCCUAAGGCGAGGCCGAAAGGCGUAGUCGAUGGGAAACAGGUUAAUAUUCCUGUACUUGGUGUUACUGCGAAGGGGGGACGGAGAAGGCUAUGUUGGCCGGGCGACGGUUGUCCCGGUUUAAGCGUGUAGGCUGGUUUUCCAGGCAAAUCCGGAAAAUCAAGGCUGAGGCGUGAUGACGAGGCACUACGGUGCUGAAGCGACAAAUGCCCUGCUUCCAGGAAAAGCCUCUAAGCAUCAGGUAACAUCAAAUCGUACCCCAAACCGACACAGGUGGUCAGGUAGAGAAUACCAAGGCGCUUGAGAGAACUCGGGUGAAGGAACUAGGCAAAAUGGUGCCGUAACUUCGGGAGAAGGCACGCUGAUAUGUAGGUGAAGCGACUUGCUCGUGGAGCUGAAAUCAGUCGAAGAUACCAGCUGGCUGCAACUGUUUAUUAAAAACACAGCACUGUGCAAACACGAAAGUGGACGUAUACGGUGUGACGCCUGCCCGGUGCCGGAAGGUUAAUUGAUGGGGUUAGCGGUAACGCGAAGCUCUUGAUCGAAGCCCCGGUAAACGGCGGCCGUAACUAUAACGGUCCUAAGGUAGCGAAAUUCCUUGUCGGGUAAGUUCCGACCUGCACGAAUGGCGUAAUGAUGGCCAGGCUGUCUCCACCCGAGACUCAGUGAAAUUGAACUCGCUGUGAAGAUGCAGUGUACCCGCGGCAAGACGGAAAGACCCCGUGAACCUUUACUAUAGCUUGACACUGAACAUUGAGCCUUGAUGUGUAGGAUAGGUGGGAGGCUUUGAAGUGUGGACGCCAGUCUGCAUGGAGCCGACCUUGAAAUACCACCCUUUAAUGUUUGAUGUUCUAACGUGGGCCCCUUACCGGGGUUGCGGACAGUGUCUGGUGGGUAGUUUGACUGGGGCGGUCUCCUCCUAAAGAGUAACGGAGGAGCACGAAGGUUGGCUAAUCCUGGUCGGACAUCAGGAGGUUAGUGCAAUGGCAUAAGCCAGCUUGACUGCGAGCGUGACGGCGCGAGCAGGUGCGAAAGCAGGUCAUAGUGAUCCGGUGGUUCUGAAUGGAAGGGCCAUCGCUCAACGGAUAAAAGGUACUCCGGGGAUAACAGGCUGAUACCGCCCAAGAGUUCAUAUCGACGGCGGUGUUUGGCACCUCGAUGUCGGCUCAUCACAUCCUGGGGCUGAAGUAGGUCCCAAGGGUAUGGCUGUUCGCCAUUUAAAGUGGUACGCGAGCUGGGUUUAGAACGUCGUGAGACAGUUCGGUCCCUAUCUGCCGUGGGCGCUGGAGAACUGAGGGGGGCUGCUCCUAGUACGAGAGGACCGGAGUGGACGCAUCACUGGUGUUCGGGUUGUCAUGCCAAUGGCACUGCCCGGUAGCUAAAUGCGGAAGAGAUAAGUGCUGAAAGCAUCUAAGCACGAAACUUGCCCCGAGAUGAGUUCUCCCU
rnacentral:rRNA from 1 species